UUCUCUAGUUUUCCAAUAUUGACCCUUUUUCCGGCUCUUGUGCUUCUUCUUCGUGAUCGGCUAUCCACAUCGUUUACACUGAGAGGCCGCAGCAAAAUGAGGAGCCUGAGCUAUCACAUCCGAACCCUAGCCUUCGUCCUUGGCAGUGAAAAGACUGCCAAGGACGUUCUGGUUUAAAGUUACAAGACGGCUGCCAGUGGAUUCUCUGCUAAGCUCACUCAACAGGUCGCCGAAAAUCUCCACACCUAAAGAAGAGGUCAAGCGUCUGCCGGGUGGGAAGGU